AUGCCCAACGGGGCUAUGAAUACCUACCUGCCUUUUA
rnacentral:sRNA from 1 species